AUGUCUUCUUGCAACAACUCCAUCCCUCAGCCCUUGAUAUUUGUCCUGGCUGGAAUUCCUGGCCUGGAAUCUUCCCAUGUCUGGUUCUCUGUGCCUUUUUUCUUGGUGUUUGUUGUUGCUGUCAUUGGCAAUGCCACCAUUUUAUGUAUCAUCAGGGUGGAGAAGAGACUUCACGAGCCCAUGUUUCUCCUCUUGGCCAUGCUGUCAGUUGUUGACCUGUCUCUUGUCAGUGUCACUGUGCCCCACAUGCUGGGCAUCUUCUGGAUGAAUGCCAAGGAAAUCAGCUUUAAUGCCUGCCUCACACAGAUGUUUUUCAUCCCAUCAUUUUAUGUCAUGGAGUCUGGGGUCCUUCUGGCUAUGGCUUUUGACAGAUUUGUGGCUAUCUGGCACCCUCUGAGAUAUACAACUGUCCUUAGUAACAGCCUGCUUGCGAAGAUGGCACUGGCUGUCCUGGCAAGGGCAGUGGCAGUGCUGACCCCAGCACCCAUCCUGGUGAAAAGACUGGAAAGCUUCCAAACUCACAUCAUUGCAUACUCAUACUGUGCCUACAUGGCUGUGGUGCACAUAGCCUGUGGAGACCUCUCUGACCACAUUGUCUAUGGCCUUAUGGUUAUUGUAGCAUCUGGGAUUUGAUCUGUUUUUUAUCAUUCUGUCAUAUGGGCUGAUCCUUCAUGCUGUCUUUCGGAUACCCUCUUGGGAGGCACAGGGCAAAGCUUUCAGCACAUGUGGCUCUCAUCUUUGUGUCAUUGCUCUCUUUUAUUCCCCUGUUAUCUUUUCUGUCUUGGCCCAGGUUUUAGGCUAUCGUAUGGCUCCCCACCUACAGAUUAUCAUUAACAAUCUCUACUUCUUGGUGCCUCCCAUGAUCAACCCUUUGAUUUAUGGGGCUCGGACCAAGCAAAUGCGGGAGUGGGUGCUACGAAUCUUCCAUUGUGAAGGAGAUUGA
rnacentral:lncRNA from 1 species